rnacentral:rRNA from 1 species
GAUGAACGCUAGCGGGAGGCCUAACACAUGCAAGCCGAGCGGUAUUGUUUCUUCGGCAAUGAGAGAGCGGCGUACGGGUGCGUAACACGUGUGCAACCUGCCUUUAUCUGGGGGAUAGCCUUUCGAAAGGAAGAUUAAUACUCCAUAAUAUAUUGAACGGCAUCGUUUAAUAUUGAAAGCUCCGGCGGAUAGAGAUGGGCACGCGCAAGAUUAGCUAGUUGGUGAGGUAACGGCUCACCAAGGCGAUGAUCUUUAGGGGGCCUGAGAGGGUGAUCCCCCACACUGGUACUGAGACACGGACCAGACUCCUACGGGAGGCAGCAGUGAGGAAUAUUGGUCAAUGGGUGCAAGCCUGAACCAGCCAUCCCGCGUGAAGGACGACUGCCCUAUGGGUUGUAAACUUCUUUUGGAUAGGGAUAAACCUACCCUCGAGAGGGUAGCUGAAGGUACUAUACGAAUAAGCACCGGCUAACUCCGUG